rnacentral:misc_RNA from 1 species
UAAUUCUCAGCCCUUUGGGCUGGACUUUGGACGCUGCGGGAGCCUCUUCCGCUCGUCUCAAAUGCAUUAGCGGGGUUUCGAGACCCAUUGCUGGCGUUUAGUAAUGCUUGCGCCGCGCGGGGUGCUCGUCCGCUCACUAGCUCGUGGACUUUUCCACGCUUUUGACUU